AACAUAGGCCUCAAGGUAUGUGCUUAAUUAAUAAGGCUGAUGUUCUGAUAUUGCAGGCAUCAAUUCCCUCUUAAGAAGACACCUGGUACCAAACGGUCUGUGCAGCCCUUUGAUUUCAAAUACAAUAAAAGCACCUGAAAGUCACAUUUAUGUCUACUACAUCAUACAUGUAUUUUUAGUUACUUCCAGUUGCUGCCUUCCAGUGCAUAUGUCACUUUAUGUCUCCGUCAGCUGGGAGGAUGACUGAAUCCCCAAAGUAAAAUAAGCAGCAUCAAUUCCUAGAAGAAAAAACUUGUGGGGCUCAGUAAUGGGAGGGUGAGACAUGUAGUAUCUUGCUCUGCUUGAAAACUCGUGGUAUUAUUUGAGACAAAUUGUUAGUCCCAGUCACAGACAACUCUGAUUAAAUGAAUUAGUUAGUGCUUGUAAAUGGCUCUUAAAUAGUUGAGUGAGCAUUUAGAAAUUACUUAAAAAUUGGACUGAGAUUUCCAUUUACAUGGUGAAUUAGAGAUAAGAAAUUCAUGGAAAAACAUUGUGUAGAUAAUUUGAAUGGCUUUGAAAAUCACAGCUGUUAUAAUACAUUAGGAAAGUAUAUACAUCAGUGUGUAUGCAUAGACAUAUCUGGCAAGUGAAGAACUUUGGCUUCAAUUUCAGGAACUGCAUCAAAGCCCCAGAGGAAAUAGUUUGGUCAACAGUCCUUAUUGCAGUCCUGUGAAAAAUCAACUUGUGCCAUCUAAUGCUGUCUUACCUAACCUAUCCUAUCCUGUAAUCUGUGUUUGUUUUGCAUUUUCACUUUUUGUACACUAAAAUGUUAAAACUUGCAGCAAUACAUCUAUCUUCAUGGGAGAGGAAUGAAGAAACACUUUCACUUGACAUACUCUUUAUCAGACCUUAAUAACCUUGGUGGUACCUUGCGGUGGUAUUACUGCUCUAAUUUUGAGUUGGAGGAAACAAGGAACAGUUAUGUAAAAUUUCUAACAGUUUUUUGCCUUUAUCAUUAUACAUUUGAAGUCUCAAGAUUCUCUCACUACAGAGGAAAUAGAAGAACUAGAGUAGUAUUAAUCAGUUUUAUUGUAUUUAUUCUUUCCUGUAAUGAAUGUAAUGUCAUGUGAAUUCUUGAACAAGUAAGAGGAUGCGCCAGACAACGGUCAGCCAUUACACAUAAUGAUAAAUGAAAGCCAGCUGAAUCCACGUGUUGCAUCUUUAAUUACCCAGUGAUAAUUCUUGUAACACACGUGAAAUCAAGAUGACUUUCUUGGGCAGCAAGACAAACAAAAGCAUUUAAUUUUCAACAUAGUGGAGGAAAAAGAGGACUAGCAGACAAGACUACUGAGCUAACCAUGGGUGGCAAGUGGUUAAAGUUCAUCCGAAACCAACCAUCAUCGUCAUAGAAAGAGGCCACUCUUAAGCUUCUGUGGCCAGGCCCUUUGUGCCUUCGGGCUUUUUGUAAAAAAAAUAAGUUAAAAAUCAGAAGUUGUCAGCAAGCAUCACUGAAAAAAAUGGUGGAAGACAUUGAAAUGCAAGAAUGGGUCUUCUGUGAUUUUUGAAGGCAGAGAGGUGAACCGUGGGUGUGGGUGGCACUUAGGAGAUGGCAGAACACACAGACCACUUGCAGUUGCAGGAAGAGAUGGGCACAGUUACUUCAGAGUCAAAGCUGUGGGAAGCAUGAGCUGCUGGCUGCUGCUUGGUUCAUCAGGAAGCAUGAGUCUCAGAAAUGGAUGGAGACAUCCUUACAAUUCUUACAGCACACCUCUGACUGGGGCAAUAGCAGCUAUAGAUAGUCUGAGAAUAAUUUACAUUUGCUAGUUAAGCUGUUAUUAGCACAGAAAUGGGGUAGAAUAAAAAGAUUUUUGUGUGCCUAAGACUGGAAUCUUUCCUUUUCAAUGCAGUAUUUGAGUGGAAAUUGUUGACGAGUAUUUGAAAUAAUUUUACUAAUAUAUGGUACUGGAAAGCCAGAGUGAGAGCAACUAAGUAAGGUCCCCCAGUCCAAGUGGCUUUUUAAGAAAACAAAGAACCUCUUGGAGGAUAGGGAAGGUGGAAGAUUGGAAGCCAAAUAGUCAGGGAAGCAGUUACAGAUAUCACUGUAUCCUGGAUUUUCAGGAAGAUGAUCACUCCACAAGGGUCUGCAGCAGCAGGACCUGAAGCAGAGUGAUCUUGACAUGUUUUAAAUGCAAAUUGCAGUACAAAGUUAAGAACAGUAACCUGGAAACCAAGACAUUCUCCAAUUCUGUUAAUAGCACCUGGCAUAUUGAUUACACAUAGAAUUGAUGGCAUAAGGAAUUUGUUGUUCACAUGACAUGUCCAGUCACACCAGACAGUUCAUCAGCACUGAACACUGCUUUUUGGCAAACACAGCCCAGAUACUUAUAAAGUGCCAUCUGUCUUAUACAGAGCUUUUUUAAGAUACCUCUCUCCAAAGUCCUGCUUUGGAAAUUAAGCCCGUUAGGCAUUAGAAAAAGAUAUUUGUUAGACUAAAUGUUUUCACUCUACUUCUGUAAAGUGUCCUGUGCCUGCCUUUGAAAUAUUUUCUAAUAUCUACUCUUUGAGAGAAAAUAUUUUUAGUAAAUUACCUGAGGCUGGGCCCAGUUUGGAGACUACUGUGAUCCUGAUUUAGCAACAGAAAAGGGUUUUAAUUUCUCUCUCCAUUUCUCUGACCUAGACUACGAUAAGUAGCUAGAGACCAGGCUGAGUGGAAAAAAGGCUGAAAGUCAUAAAAGACCUUAAAGGAUUGAGCUACUUAGCAGAUCUAAACCUAAAAGUAAAUGUUCUUAGAUGUUUUUCAUGUCAUUGACUAUAUUCUUGACAGUUGGGGGGUUGUUUAUAAGGAAGCCUUUUAGCUGUACAUUUAACACCAAGGUUUCAUAUAUCCUUACUUUAUGUUCUUCAAAGUUGUGUAUGCAUGCAAAGUUAAGAGAUAUAUCUAAGGUGUGCCAGUAGGAUAAACAAGUUUCACUCUAUAUUUCUUAAAAUAAGACCAUUGUUCAGAACUAUUUUAUUGGAAGAAACAAUCAAGAUCAGGUAGAUUUCUCUGUUACUGAUGAAUGAAUGAAUGAAACUGGGUUUUCUGAAACUUACUUGCAUGUUAUGGAAGAAGGUACAAAUUGUACAGGAAUUGUCUUAAAAAUUCCUUAAAAAGUUAAGUUGUCUAUAAAUACUGAAAAAAAGAUUCUUUGCCAAGAAGAGCAAAAGAGUCCUUUGAACUGCAUUGGUUUCUCUUAGGAGGCUAAUAGAAGUCUCACACUGAAGAUGCAGGAGCAUGAGAAUAACUAUCUUUAGAUAGAUUGCAUACUGCAUAUCUAAUGACGUGGUAUUCUAUGCCUAAU